GACGAACGCUGGCGGCGUGCUUAACACAUGCAAGUCGAACGAAGUGGCGAACGGGUGAGUACUACGUGGGUAACCUGCCCUCCUUUUUGCGUUAAGCCUUGGAAACGGGGUCUAAUACCGAAUAAAGGGGGAGGGGCUCGCGGCGUAUCAGCUUGUUGGGGGGGUGAUGGCCUACGAAGGCGGGGACGGGUAGGAGGCCUGAGAGGGUGACUGGCAACAUUGGGAGUGAGAGACGGCCCAGGCAGCUACGGGAGGGAGAAGUGGGGGAUAGGGCACAAUGGGCGAAAGCCUGAGGCAGCGAAGCGGAGUGGGGGAUGAAGGCUUUAGGGUUGUAAAUCUGUUAAGAUAACGAACGGGUAGGUGGAGAAGAAGCGCCGGCUAACUACGUGCCAGCAGCCGCGGUAAUUC
rnacentral:rRNA from 1 species